AACUGUAACAAAUCACAAAAUAAAAUCUUAUCAACUAUUUGUAAUGCCAUUGUUGCAAUUUUUCUUUAAUAUGAAGUUAAUUUGAUCCACAAAAGAAUAACGCACGGCUUAAUGUUUAUUUACAUUUUUGAAAAUUACAAGAGCUUCGACAACAAUGAGCACAAAAGCAACAAAUGCCGCCAGCGUGCUAAUUGGCGCCAGUGCUAUUUUUCAUAAGCGCGAAUAUCAAAGAAAAUAUGAAUGAUGAAGUCAAUGUUUUUUUAUUAAACAACAAUAAUAAUCUGGAUUUUUUUUUCUUGACUUAACCAGUAUGGGGUGAUCAGGGCAUCAUUUCCAAAUACUAAAAGAAUUUUUUAAUCGUUAUGACUUUAUGAUUUUUUUUCGCGCUUACGAAAAAUAGCACAGGCGCCAGCUAGCGCGCUAGCGGCAUUUGUUGCUUUCAUGCUUAUUGUUGUUGAAGUUCUUGUAAUUUUUAAAAAUGUAAAUAAAUGUUAAACCGUGCGUUAUUCUUUGCAGGUUUCAACAACCUGUGGAUUAAAUUAACUUCCUAUUAAAGAAAAAUUGCAAUAAUGGUACUAUAAAUGGUUGAUAAGAUUUUAUUUUGUGAUUUGUUACAAUAGUUUUAUAAUGCAAGUAUUGAAAUAUCGAUAAAAACAGCGAUUUGGAGGGAAAAUCGUUUUCUGGUGGUGUGGCAUCAGAUCAAGUUGUGAUGCCGGGACGGCUACCGCUAGCUCAUGCAAUAUUUCUUCCAACACAUAAUCGUGUCUUUAACUAUUAUCAUCAAGAAAUAAUCAAAUUUUACUUUAGAUUAAAUGAAAUUGACAUCAAAUGUGACAGCAAUGACAGCUGUGUCAUUCUUAGUCGACAGUUUCCAAGUGGCCCUUUCAACAUGCACCAGACACACUACGAGCAAUUCCAUUGAUUGUGAAAUGAUAAAUAACCAACCGACGAAUCUCACAAGUCACGGCCACGGCCGGCUUCUGCAGCAGGGGUGUGAAGCUAAUACUGACGUAAUUGUUCUCAACAUUCGGAAGGCUUGAAGCACGUGCCGUUUACUUCCUGCUUUGACCGAAUAACAUCCGAAAAGUCAGUCCCUGAUCGAAACGCAAUUCCAAUUCCGCAGGUCACGUGGCCGUGAAAUCACCAACAGCCACCGGAUGCGAUAAUUCAAAAUACUGUUAAAACUUUCUAAUUGGGAAUAGAAUGUUUUGUCAAUAAAACUUAAUUUAUUAGGAAGAGGACAGACGAGCUUUUAUUCGUGACGAAUCUAUUUAGGCAAACACGAGGCUUUUAAUUUCCUUUCAUACAACUAGGGGGAUUAGAACUCGUCUAAAAAUUGGAUACACCUAAAAUAUUAAGCUAUUGAAAACAAAAUAACAACAAAAACGGAAUCUCCUCGCAUUAUCAUUAAAAUCAAAACAUAAACUGUUGAUAUAAGUCAAGUCUUGCAGAAUAACAUCAACAAUCUCCUCCAGUGGUGCGAAGCUAAUAGGCUAAACCUAAAUAUAUCUAAAUGCUUUAUUAUGUCUUACACAAAUAGGAAAAUUCCGAUCAUGUAUAGUUAUAAGGUUAGUGGUCACAUUUUACAAAGAACAGACACAUUUAAAGAUCUAGGAGUUACCUUUGAUAACAAACUUUUAUUUGUGAAUCAUAUUACAAAUAUUGUUAAUAGCGCGUAUAAAACUUUAGGAUUUAUUUAUCGCAACUGUAGAGAGUUUACUAAUUUAAGAGCCUUUAAAGUCUUAUUUUUUGCCCUUGUGCGCUCCAAGUUAGAAUAUUGUGCAAUUAUUUGGUCACCUAUAUAUGCCACAUACAUAAAUAGUAUUGAAUCAGUCCAAAGAAAAUUUUUGAAACUGCUAUGGUAUAUUUCUUUUAAAAAUUACCCCGAUAGGGGAUGUGACCAACUAGUGCUUUUAAGGACAUUUAAUAUCAAUUCUCUAGAAGUUAGGAGAAUUAUCUCAAGUAUUGCAUUUUUACAUAAAUUACUAAAUAACAAGAUUGACUGUAUUGCUCUUGUUAAUAAGAUAAUUUUUCUGGUUCCUAGAAUUAACUCUCGGCAUCCGAUGACUUUUUACAGUUGCAGUUGUAAUACGAAUGUUCUAUUAAAGUCACCUUUAUAUGUAAUGUGUAGUAGUUUUAACAAAAUUAGCAGUAGUUGUGAUAUUCAUUUUCAUUCAUUUAAUUACAUUAAAAAUCAUAUAAUUAGUUACUUUAGUGGCUAGGUAAAAUUUAAUUUUAGUUCUUGUUUCUUAAUUUAUUAUUAUAGUAUUAUUAUUAGUUUGUUUUAGUUUAUUUAAAUUAUUAGUUUUUGCA